UACGUAGGGGGCAAGCGUUGUCCGGAAUCAUUGGGCGUAAAGAGCGCGUAGGCGGCCCGGUAAGUCCGCCGUGAAAGUCCAGGGCUCAACCCUGGAAUGCCGGUGGAAACUGCCGGGCUGGAGUCCGGAAGAGGCGAGUGGAAUUCCUGGUGUAGCGGUGAAAUGCGCAGAUAUCAGGAGGAACACCAAUGGCGAAGGCAGCUCGCUGGGACGGUACUGACGCUGAGACGCGAAAGCGUGGGGAGCAAACAGG
rnacentral:rRNA from 1 species